AUUGAACGCUGGCGGCAUGCCUUACACAUGCAAGUCGAACGGCAGCACGGACUUCGGUCUGGUGGCGAGUGGCGAACGGGUGAGUAAUAUAUCGGAACAUACCUUGUAGUGGGGGAUAACUAUCCGAAAGGAUAGCUAAUACCGCAUACGCUCUAAGGAGGAAAGUGGGGGAUCGCAAGACCUCAUGCUAUAAGAGUGGCCGAUAUCUGAUUAGCUAGUUGGUGAGGUAAAGGCUCACCAAGGCGACGAUCUGUAGCUGGUCUGAGAGGACGACCAGCCACACUGGAACUGAGACACGGUCCAGACUCCUACGGGAGGCAGCAGUGGGGAAUUUUGGACAAUGGACGCAAGUCUGAUCCAGCCAUUCCGCGUGCAGGAUGAAGGCCCUCGGGUUGUAAACUGCUUUUGUACGGAACGAAAAGGUCUCUCUUAAUACGGGGGGCUCAUGACGGUACCGUAAGAAUAAGCACCGGCUAACUACGUGCCAGCCGCCGCCGUAA
rnacentral:rRNA from 1 species